UUCCAAGAUUCCCUAGAUUUAACAAGGCACGUAAUUGUCAACAGAAAAAUGACUAUUAAAUUUAUAUAACAUUACAAAAUAUUUCUUUUCAGUUUGACAUUCACUGUGGGUUAAGCAAAAUAUUAAAGCAUUUAUUGAGAAGAGUAGAAAAAUCUAAUUAGGCAAGGAUACAAAGGUAAAAAUAAUAAACAGAGAUAUAGUUAAAAAAGAUCUGAUACUGAGGACGGAUGCAGCCACUGUUAUAGGUAGGAAGUUGGGAAGGUUCGAUACAUAAAGUUAUUUCAUUUAUAUCUUUAAACAAUGAUAAAACAUUGCUUGACGAAAGACGACUCUGAGCACAGUUUCCUAAUACAUAAUUUGAAUUGCCGGAAUUU